rnacentral:rRNA from 1 species
UACGUAGGGCGCAAGCGUUAUCCGGAAUUAUUGGGCGUAAAGAGCUCGUAGGCGGUUUGUCGCGUCUGCCGUGAAAAGUCCGGGGGCUCAACUCCGGAUCUGCGGUGGGUACGGGCAGACUAGAGUGAUGUAGGGGGAGACUGGAAUUCCUGGUGUAGCGGUGAAAUGCGCAGAUAUCAGGAGGAACACCGAUGGCGAAGGCAGGUCUCUGGGCAUUAACUGACGCUGAGAAGCGAAAGCAUGGGGAGCGAACAGG